CUGAGCCAAAAUCUCGCGUUGGACACUAAAUCGACUGAGCCACCCGGGCAUCCCUGGAUACUAAGGCCCCCAGAGGAUUGGAUGGUGCCCACCUGCACUGAUGAGAAUGCUCUUUACUCAGUCUACUGACUCAUAUGGUAAUCUCUUUUUGGAGACACGCUGACAGCCACACCCAGAAAUCGUGUUUUAACAGCUAUCUGGGCAUCUCUCAACUCAGUCAAGUUGACACAUAAAAUUAACCAUUACAGGACUGCAAUGUCAGGUAGUGCUAAGUGCUCUGAAGAAAAAAAUGGAUAAAGGAGCUGGGGUGUACGCGAAAAAAAGUAAGGUCUUCUAAUAAAAAAUCAAUUGUGCUGUGUUCACCCAAGGAAUACCGUAUGGUGUGAAAACGAACAAACUAUAGGUCUACACACAACGUGGAUAAGACUUUGAAACAUAGUAUUGGGUAAAAGAAGCAAGAAAUGAUGCCACGAGAAAACAAUCAGACUAAAUCCAGAAUAUGGGAUAUUCUGCAGGUCCAACGAUCCAGCUUUCUAAAAAAACAAAAACAAAAACAAAAACAGAACAAAACAGAGCAAAAAAAUGCCAUGAUAACAAGAAAGGAAGAGGGAAAGAAGCAGGGUCUUGAGGAGUAGAAGAGAUACAAGAGUCAUGAUGUUCUGAGUUGUAACAACUAACUACAAAAAGACAUCUUUGAGGCGAAUAGGGAAAUUUGAAUAAGAACUGGGUAUUAGAAGUUAAUAAGAUUGAUUAUUAAUUUUUGUCGAUAGACACAAUAAUGACGUGAUGGUUAUCUUUUCAAAGUUCCUCUCAGACAUGCGCACUGAAGUUUGCAUGGGGGAAAAACAAUAUAAUGUCUGGGAACACCCUUGUAAAACAGCAAAAGGAAGUGAGGCAAAACAAGGUUACAGACUUUUGAGAAUUGGUGACAUUGGGUGAAGGAUUGUAAUAAUAUAGUAGGUUGCUUAUGUUAUUGCCUCUACUUUUAUUUAACUUUGAAAAUUUCCAUAAUUCAAGUUUUUAAAAUGAGAAACUUAUUUAAUUUACUUAGAAGCUUCUUCUGGGCUUAUAUGUAAAAAUGUAUCUAGAAUUAAGUAGAAGUCACAGGUUUAUGUGUGAUUCUGAAGACCUUUUGUUUUGAGAUUAUUGUAGAUUCGUAUGCAGUUGCAAGAAAUAAUUCGGAAAGAUUUCGUAUACUCUCGACCCAAUGGCAUUAUCUUGCAUAACCAUAGCACAAUAUCACAGUCUGGAAGUUGACAUUGAUACAACCAAUUGACCUUAUUCAAUUUCACCAGUUUGGUACGUAUCCAUUUAUGUAUAUAUGGCAUAUAUAUUAAUUUCUAUGCAAUUUUACCAAAGCACAGAUUUGUGUGACCUCUACCACAGUCAAGAUACAGAACAGUUCUAUCACAAGAUUCUUUUGUACUCCCUUUUAUCACAACAGACACCCCUUUUACUCCUACCACCUCCGACCUCUGGCAGCCACGAAUCUGUUUUCUAGCUCUAUAGUUUUGUCAUUUCAAGACAAAAUAUAUAAAUGGAAUCAUACAGUAUGUGUAACCCUUUGUGAUUUUCUUCCCACUCACCAUAAUUCUUUUGAGAUUCACCUAAGUUAUAUUUUUAAGUCAUUUGUUUUUAAAAUAAUCUCUGCAUCCAUUGUGGGGCUCGAACUCACAACCCCAAGAUCAAGAGUUGCAUGCUCCACUGACUGAGCCAGCCAGGCACCCCUCAUCUGAGUUACCGAGUGUAUAACUAGAUGAUUCCUUUUCUCAUUGCUGAGUAAGGAUCUCAUGGUAUGGAUGUGCUCCACUUUGUUUAACCAUUCAUCUACUAACACUCGUUUGGGUUGUUACUAAAUUUUGGCUUCUACCAUGAGCUUUCGUGUAAAUUAGGUUUUUGUGUGAACACAUUUUUUCAUUUCUCUGGGAUGAAUGUCCAAGAGUGCAAUGACUGGAUAGUAUAGUAUGCACAGGUUCAGUUUUGUAAGAAAGUGCUAUACUCUUUCCCACAGUGGCUUUUCUAUUUUCCAUUCCCAUUAGCAAUGUAUGAACAUAUGAGUGUGUGAGCUUUAACUGCUUAACUAAUAGUUCUUCAGAAUAACCGAAGAAAGAAUGAUCUGAUGAAAAUAUUUCUGCCCAAAUGGCCCCAUGGUUUACGAAGAUUUCUAUAGGAGGUACUCGUUGUAGAGAAGUUAGGUCAAGGAAGUCCUAAAAGUGCUUUGAAACAAGGCCAAAAAUGUAUCCUAGAUACAUCUGGAAGGAAGAGAGGAAAUUAACAUUUACAGAGCAGAAAUACCAGGCAUUUCUCAUUCUUUAUCUCAUUUAUUCCUCAGAUGACCCUGUGAGAAGGGUACUAUACUCAUUUUAGAAAUAAUGUAAUCAAGGUCUCAAGUAACUUUUCAAACAGUCAUAGUUACCAACAGGCAAAGUGAGACUAAAAAGCCCAGCUUCUAGCUGCCUUUAAGCUCAGUGCAGGAAACAUAGGAGGCAGUCAACCCAUUUGUUGAGAAGACUGAAUGAAUAGAUGAAUGUCAGUUCUGCUAUUUAUGUACUCCUUGGCAAGACAAUUAAAUUCUCUGAGUCUUUCUUCUUUUGUUGAAGGAAGACAAUAAUAACACCUCCUUCACAGAGUCGUGAACAAAUGAGGUGAUGUGAAAAAAAAAUUGAAAAAUGUUAAAUGUUACAUAAUAUUCUAAAAGUACAGUCAGGGUCAUAACCAAAUACUGAUAAAAUGCAGGCGCAAGAGUUGGGUGGGUGGGUGGGUGUAGUGCCAGUAAGGUACUGUGCCCCAUGGAUUAUUUAAUAUCGAGUUUCCUUAUCUGUGAAAUCACAAGUGAGAUUAAGGUGGAGUGCCUUAAUGACAUAGACCCUAAGAUUUUCACCGAAUAAUGAGACAGAACCAAGCAAACCUCUACAUAGAUUAAUUUGAAAAUGUUUAUUAUCCUUCCCAGGAUGAUGAAAAGUAUGUUGCUGAUUAUCAUUAUCCAUAGCAUUCUGGCCGAUAUCAAUUAGGUCAUUGAGACCUAUAUCAGUGCAUCAAAAUUAUUACAUAGGUAAUUUGCAUAUUUGUAUGUGCAAUUAUAUAUGAAAACAGUAUUGGUUAACAGUUAAUAAUAUGAGAAUAUAUAUAUAACUUCCAAAUACCAGUUUCUAAGAAAAAUAUGCACUGGAUAGAAGUGGAAGAAUGGGCAAGAAAUUGAUAUAUUGUCUCUGGGUAGGGGAUAAGAGUGGCUAGAAAGGUAAAGAAGCUUCACAUUUGUAACUCUUUGUAUUUUCCUUUUGAAUUUUGGAGCAUAUAUUACUGCAUUACUAUUCAAUAAAUACUUUAACCUUUUAUAAAAAUCUUGUAUAAAAAUGUAACAUUAAUAUAGACUAACCACAGGACUUUUUAAAGCAUUGCUUUUAAAUUAUUAAAUUCUGAAAAUAUGAAGCCACUUCCUUUUCAAUAUCAUUAUAUGUUUUUACUGAAUUUGUGGUCUCUGGGCAUAUUUAACUCUUCUGAAAAAAGCACUCUUUCCCCUUUAGCACUUUUUUGUAAGACUGACAUGCUGAGUGACAGAUAAAAUUGAAUAAAAUAAGUUAUUUUCUAA